AAACUUUCAACAACGGAUCUCUUGGUUCCGGCAUCGAUGAAGAACGCAGCGAAAUGCGAUACGUAAUGUGAAUUGCAAAUUCAGUGGAUCAUCGAGUCUUUGAACGCACAUUGCGCCCCCUGGUAUUCCGGGGGGCAUGCCUGUCCGAGCGUCAUU
rnacentral:rRNA from 1 species